GUACACUCCUGCGGGAGGCAGCAGUGGGGAAUUUUGGACAAUGGGGGCAACCCUGAUCCAGCAAUGCCGCGUGAGUGAAGAAGGCCUUCGGGUUGUAAAGCUCUUUUGUCAGGGAAGAAACGGUAGUAGCGAAUAACUACUACUAAUGACGGUACCUGAAGAAUAAGCACCGGCUAACUACGUGCCAGCAGCCGCGGUAAUACGUAGGGUGCAAGCGUUAAUCGGAAUUACUGGGCGUAAAGCGUGCGCAGGCGGUUGUGUAAGUCAGAUGUGAAAUCCCCGGGCUCAACCUGGGAAUUGCAUUUGAGACUGCACGGCUAGAGUGUGUCAGAGGGGGGUAGAAUUCCACGUGUAGCAGUGAAAUGCGUAGAUAUGUGGAGGAAUACCGAUGGCGAAGGCAGCCCCCUGGGAUAACACUGACGCUCAUGCACGAAAGCGUGGGGAGCAAACAGGAUUAGAAACCCGUGUAGUCCCAUG
rnacentral:rRNA from 1 species